AUUGAACGCUGGCGGCAGGCCUAACACAUGCAAGUCGAGCGAGCGGCGGACGGGGGUGUGAUGUGUGGGAAACUGCCCGAUGGAGGGGGAUAACUACUCGAAACGGUAGCUAAUACCGCAUACCCCCAGAGGUGCCCAGAUGGGAUUAGCUCGUAGGUGGGGUAACGGCUCACCUAGGCGACGAUCCCUAGCUGGUCUGAGAGGAUGACCAGCCACACUGGAACUGAGACACGGUCCAGACUCCUACGGGAGGCAGCAGUGGGGAAUAUUGCACAAUGGGCGCAAGCCUGAUGCAGCCAUGCCGCGUGUGUGAAGAAGGCCUUCGGGUUGUAAAGCACUUUCAGCGGGGAGGCGUUACCCGCAGAAGAAGCACCGGCUAACUCCGUGCCAGCAGCCGCGGUAAUAC
rnacentral:rRNA from 1 species